CUCUUCGGAGGGAGCGGCGGACGGGUGAGUAACGCGUGGGAAUAUGCCCUUCUCUGCGGAAUAGCCACUGGAAACGGUGAGUAAUACCGCAUACGCCCUUCGGGGGAAAGAUUUAUCGGAGAAGGAUUAGCCCGCGUUAGAUUAGGUAGUUGGUGGGGUAAUGGCCUACCAAGCCUACGAUCUAUAGCUGGUUUUAGAGGAUGAUCAGCCACACUGGGACUGAGAACACGGCCCAGACUCCUACGGGAGGCAGCAGUGAGGAAUCUUAGACAAUGGGCGCAAGCCUGAUCUAGCCAUGCCGCGUGUUGUGAUGAAGGCCUUAGGGUCGUAAAGCACUUUCGCCAGAGAUGAUAAUGACAGUAUCUGGUAAAGAAACCCCGGCUAACUCCGUGCCAGCAGCCGCGGUAAUACGGAGGGGGGUUAGCGUUGUUCGGAAUUACUGGGCGUAAAGCGCACGUAGGCGGAUCAGAAAGUUGGGGGUGAAAUCCCCGGGGCUCAACCCCGGGAACUGCCUCCCAAAACUCCUGGUCUUGAGUUCGAGAGAGGUGAGUGGAAUUCCGAGUGUAGAGGUGAAAUUCGUAGAUAUUCGGAGGAACACCAGUGGCGAAGGCGGCUCACUGGCUCGAUACUGACGCUGAGGUGCGAAAGUGUGGGGAGCAAACAGGAUUAGAUACCCUGGUAGUCCACACCGUAAACGAUGAAUGCCAGUCGUCGGCAAGCAUGCUUGUCGGUGACACACCUAACGGAUUAAGCAUUCCGCCUGGGGAGUACGGUCGCAAGAUUAAAACUCAAAGGAAUUUGACGGGGGCCCGCACAAGCGGUGGAGCAUGUGGUUUAAUUCGAAGCAACGCGCAGAACCUUACCAACCCUUGACAUCCUGUGCUACAUCGAGAGAUCGAUGGGUUCCCCUUCGGGGACGCAGUGACAGGUGCUGCAUGGCUGUCGUCAGCUCGUGUCGUGAGAUGUUCGGUUAAGUCCGGCAACGAGCGCAACCCACAUCUUCAGUUGCCAGCAGUUCGGCUGGGCACCUCUGGAGAAACUGCCCGUGAAUAAGCGGGAAGGAAGGUGUGGAUGACGUUCAAGGUCCUCAUGGCCCUUACGGGUUGGGCUACACACGUGCCUACAAUGGUAUCUACAAUGGGUUAAUCCCCAAAAGAUAUCUCAGUUCGGAUUGUCGUCUGCAACUCGACGGCAUGAAGUCGGAAUCGCUAGUAAUCGCGUAACAGCAUGACGCGGUGAAUACGUUCCCGGGCCUUGUACACACCGCCCGUCACACCAUGGGAGUUGGUUCUACCUGACGGCCGUGCGCU
rnacentral:rRNA from 1 species